AUAUAUUUAGUUUAUUAUAGAAUAAGAGUUUGUCGUACUCUAGGUGAUUGUUGUAAUCAGUAUAUU
rnacentral:tRNA from 1 species